rnacentral:rRNA from 1 species
CCUACGGGAGGCAGCAGUGAGGAAUAUUGGUCAAUGGACGAGAGUCUGAACCAGCCAAGUAGCGUGAAGGAUGACUGCCCUAUGGGUUGUAAACUUCUUUUAUAUGGGAAUAAAACGUUCCACGUGUGGGAUUUUGUAUGUACCAUAUGAAUAAGGAUCGGCUAACUCCGUGCCAGCAGCCGCGGUAAUACGGAGGAUCCGAGCGUUAUCCGGAUUUAUUGGGUUUAAAGGGAGCGUAGGUGGAUUGUUAAGUCCGUUGUGAAAGUUUGCGGCUCAACCGUAAAAUUGUAGUUGAAACUGGCAGUCUUGAGUACAGUAGAGGUGGGCGGAAUUCGUGGUGUAGCGGUGAAAUGCUUAGAUAUCACGAAGAACUCCGAUUGCGAAGGCAGUUCACUGGACUGCAACUGACACUGAGGCUCGAAAGUGUGGGUAUCAAACAGGAUUAGAUACCCCUGUAGUC